AUCGAUUUUCAGGGCAGGGUGAGCCGUAAACUCGUUGAGUUCGGCGGCAAUUCCUGACCGGCGGUGACAGCCCGCGACUCCUGCAUGCAGGAUUGAACCGGUGUAAUUCCGGUGCCGACGGUAUAGUCCGGAGGGAAGAAAAUCGAC
rnacentral:ncRNA from 1 species